rnacentral:rRNA from 1 species
GACGUAGGGCGCGAGCGUUGUCCGGAUUUAUUGGGCGUAAAGAGCGUGUAGGCGGCUUGACAGGUCUGCUGUGAAAACUCGAGGCUCAACCUCGAGAUGUCGGCGGAAACCGUCUGGCUAGAGUCCGGAAGAGGAGAGUGGAAUUCCUGGUGUAGCGGUGAAAUGCGCAGAUAUCAGGAAGAACACCUAUGGCGAAGGCAGCUCUCUGGGACGGUACUGACGCUGAGACGCGAAAGCGUGGGGAGCGAACAGG